rnacentral:rRNA from 1 species
UUGGUCCCGCACGAGCGCAACCCUCGCCCUUAGUUGCCAUCAUUCAGUUGGGCACUCUAAGGGGACUGCCGGUGAUAAGCCGAGAGGAAGGUGGGGAUGACGUCAAGUCCUCAUGGCCCUUACGGGCUGGGCUACACACGUGCUACAAUGGUGGUGACAGUGGGCAGCGAGACCGCGAGGUCGAGCUAAUCUCCAAAAGCCAUCUCAGUUCGGAUUGCACUCUGCAACUCGAGUGCAUGAAGUUGGAAUCGCUAGUAAUCGCGGAUCAGCAUGCCGCGGUGAAUACGUUCCCGGGCCUUGUACACACCGCCCGU